rnacentral:rRNA from 1 species
GUCUAUGGCCAUGCCACCCUGAACAAGCCCAAUGUCUGAACUUGGCAGCUAAGCAGUGUCGGGCCUGGUUAGUACUUGGAUGGGAGACCACCUAGGAACACCAGGUGCUGUAGGCA